rnacentral:rRNA from 1 species
GAUGAACGCUGGCGGCGUGCCUAAUACAUGCAAGUCGAGCGAACAGACGAGGAGCUUGCUCCUCUGACGUUAGCGGCGGACGGGUGAGUAACACGUGGAUAACCUACCUAUAAGACUGGGAUAACUUCGGGAAACCGGAGCGAAUACCGGAUAAUAUAUUUAACCGCAUGGUUCAAUAGUGAAAGACGGUUUUGCUGUCACUUAUAGAUGGAUCCGCGCCGCAUUAGCUAGUUGGUAAGGUAACGGCUUACCAAGGCAACGAUGCGUAGCCGACCUGAGGGGGUGAUCGGCCACACUGGAAGUGAGACACGGUCCAGACUCCUACGGGAGGCAGCAGUAGGGAAUCUUCCGCAAUGGGCGAAAGCCUGACGGAGCAACGCCGCGUGAGUGAUGAAGGUCUUCGGAUCGUAAAACUCUGUUAUUAGGGAAGAACAAAUGUGUAAGUAACUAUGCACGUCUUGACGGUACCUAAUCAGAAAGCCACGGCUAACUACGUG